UCGAGAAUUUUUCACAAUGGGGGAAACCCUGAUGGAGCGACGCCGCGUGGGGGAUGAAUGGCUUCGGCCCGUAAACCCCUGUCAUUUGCGAACAAACCCUGCAGUUUAAGAGAUGGCAGGCUGAUCGUAGCAGAAGAGGAAGGGACGGCUAACUCUGUGCCAGCAGCCGCGGUAAUACAGAGGUCCCAAGCGUUGUUCGGAUUCACUGGGCGUAAAGGGUGCGUAGGCGGCGAGGUAAGUUUGAGGUGAAAUCUCCGGGCUCAACCCGGAAGCGGCCUUGAAGACUAUCUUGCUAGAGGAUCGGAGGGGAGAUCGGAAUUCUCGGUGUAGCAGUGAAAUGCGUAGAUAUCGAGAGGAACACCAGUGGCGAAGGCGGAUCUCUGGACGAAACCUGACGCUGAGGCACGAAAGCCAGGGGAGCAAACGGG
rnacentral:rRNA from 1 species